rnacentral:rRNA from 1 species
AACGAACGCUGGCGGCAGGCUUAACACAUGCAAGUCGAACGCCCCGCAAGGGGAGUGGCAGACGGGUGAGUAACGCGUGGGAAUCUACCCAAUUCUUCGGAACAACUGAGGGAAACUUCAGCUAAUACCGGAUACGCCCUACGGGGGAAAGAUUUAUCGGAAUUGGAUGAGCCCGCGUUGGAUUAGCUAGUUGGUGAGGUAAUGGCUCACCAAGGCGACGAUCCAUAGCUGGUCUGAGAGGAUGAUCAGCCACACUGGGACUGAGACACGGCCCAGACUCCUACGGGAGGCAGCAGUGGGGAAUAUUGGACAAUGGGCGCAAGCCUGAUCCAGCCAUGCCGCGUGAGUGAUGAAGGCCUUAGGGUUGUAAAGCUCUUUCAGUGGGGAAGAUAAUGACGGUACCCACAGAAGAAGCCCCGGCUAACUUCGUGCCAGCCGCCGCCGUAAGAC